UACGUAGGGUGCAAGCGUUGUCCGGAAUUAUUGGGCGUAAAGAGCUCGUAGGCGGUCUGUCGCGUCGGCUGUGAAAACCCGCGGCUCAACCUCGGGCCUGCAGUCGAUACGGGCAGACUAGAGUGCGGUAGGGGAGACUGGAAUUCCUGGUGUAGCGGUGAAAUGCGCAGAUAUCGGGAGGAACACCAAUGGCGAAGGCGCUGCUCUGGGCCGAAACUGACGCUGAGGAGCGAAAGCG
rnacentral:rRNA from 1 species